rnacentral:rRNA from 1 species
GACAGAGGUCCCAAGCGUUGUUCGGAUUCAUUGGGCGUAAAGGGUGCGUAGGCGGCGCGGUAAGUCGGGGAUGUGAAAUCGUCGGAGCCUUAACUCCGAAACUGCAUUCGAUACUGCCGUGCUUGAGGACUGGAGAGGAGACUGGAAUUUACGGUGUAGCGGUGAAAUGCGUAGAUAUCGUAAGGAAGACCAGUGGCGAAGGCGGGUCUCUGGACAGUUCCUGACGCUGAGGCACGAAGGCCAGGGGAGCAAACGGG